GACGAACGCUGGCGGCGUGCUUAACACAUGCAAGUCGAACGGAAAGGCCUGCUUUCCCUUGUGGAUUGCGGGUACUCGAGUGGCGAACGGGUGAGUAACACGUGAGUGAUCUGCCCCCAACUUGGGUAUAAGCCUGGGAAACUGGGUCUAAUUCCCGAUAGGACUGCAGGGUGGUGCCUGUGGUGGAACACGAUUUUCUAGUGGUUGGGGAUGAGCUCGCGGCCUAUCAGCUUGUUGGUGGGGUAAUGGCCUACCAAGGCGGCGACGGGUAGCCGGCCUGAGAGGGGGGACGGUGACAUUGGGACUGAGACACGGCCCAGACGCAUACGGGAGGCAGCAGUGGGGAAUAGUGGACAAUGGGCGGAAGCCAGAUGCAGCGACGCGGCGUGGAGGAUGACGGGCUUGGGGUGGUAAACUCCUUGGGAAGGCGAGGAAGCGACCUGGUUGGAAGGGUGGUGACGGUAGUGGUAGAAGAAGCACCGGCUAACUACGUG
rnacentral:rRNA from 1 species